AAGCCCCCUGAGCUCGGACCGCUCCACAGCGGCGAGGAUGGUGAAGGGCCUGGAGGGGAAGGCAUAGGCUGAGGUCGCUUAGUUUGUCCAGCCUGGAGAAGAAGGAGCUGAGGGCAGAGCAUAUGAGGGUACUGGAAAGCUGCAAAUUAGGUCACCCUGAAGCUUCUCUCCUCCAGAGCCUCCCGAAAAGGAAAGAUAAUCCCAGCUGCGUGGCAGAAGAAAAUUGCCACUUGAUUAUUCUAAAAGAAGGAGGAAAAGCCCCUUAAAUCGGAGACAUCAGGUAGAAGAAGCCUGAGGACUCUUCCUUGCACCUCAUAAAUGAUAGCUGCAAUGAUUUGUCUCCAUCUUGCAAGUUAUUAACAUAUUCAGCUGUUGUCAAAGUUCUUUACAGGAGAUGCCAUCUCCAUGGAGAUCCAAAGCUCCACACAGAAAAUCAGGCAGGCUUCAGAUGCCCUUGACAUGGAAGUUUUUCUCGCUGAUAGAGGAAAAAUUGGGGCACAGGAGCUUAAUUUUUUUUUUUUUCCUUUUUUUUCUCAAGCUGGUGACAGUAAUAACAGGGCUGGAGCCAAGGAGGAUUUGCUGGUUCUGACUGUCAGACCUGGAGUUUCCUGAUUCAGUCUCAAAGCUGGGGAACGCAAACAAGGUGUUCUCCCAGCAGCACAGGUCCUGCAGGAUAACCACACCUUGGAGAGUAUCCUCGUGGAACAGGGCUGUGGUGUUUCAGUCCAAGGAAAGGUACAGGGAGCAAGGAAUAAAUCUGCCUGAGAGCUUUCCCUUUUUACAAUGUUGAAGAGAAAACAAUUUAAGUCAUACAAAAGGCAUUUUUAACACUUUCAAUAUACCUGUCUCCUUUUCUAUACUAAACCUAUGCUACAAAGAAAAAAAAAAAAAAGAAAAUUCAGUGUAAAAACCCCACAACACGCACAUAAAGUUCAAUUUUACCCCCUGUGCCAUAGUUAGGGUGUCCCAGGGUGCAAAUGCAGUUUCACAGACAAGGAUCUCACUCUGUAAGUGGUUUGUCCUGCAGACACCUGGAGCUGGACCAGGAUUUGUUUGCAGGUUAAAACGGUCAGGCCAGAGCAAGGAAAUUUCCUCUUGGCCAAGAAUCUGCACCAGCCAAAAUCCUUUGCAGAGUUCAACAGGCUGGCAGGCCCUUGUCCAACCAAGACAAGCAGGAACCCGCUGCCAAAGCCACAAGGCCUUCCCUGGGUGCUGCAUCCCCCCCUGGCAAACCCCCACCAGCCCUACCCCACCACAGCUCCGGCUGAUCCAGGCACGAGGAGGGAGAAAAACCCGACCCAGUUACUUCACAGGAACAUUGUACCUGUUUUAGCUUCUAGGAGCUGCUGCUGAAAGCAAAGCAGCCCCCGUGUUUUUGCCUCAAAGAGUCUCCCGUUGCCAGAGCACAGCCCUGCCUCAACCCAGACAUCACCAACUGCAUCGCACCAGCUCGGGCUUCUCACCCAGAUAUGACUAAGCCCUUUCAGAACGAGAAACACUCAAGAUUUCUUGCUUAAUUGCUAAAACAGAUUAGUUUGACUAUCCAACACAUAGCCAAGCGGAAAAGAGGACCUGACACACCUAGCAGGUUCCUGCUGAGGCUGAUGAUCUGCUUUAGUUGAUGGUUCACGUUUGGGGAUGAUUUUCCACGGCCUAGCUGCCACAGGGCUGCUGGGCUCCUCUCCUGCCCUCCACAUUCCCUGCAGCCUUCUGGCCACUAGCGCUUUGGGAGGCUUAAAUCAAGAAUGUAACUGAUGGAAAGUCACCUUCAAAGCUCAAGGUUUAGCUGCCCCAUGUCAUGGAAAGGGCCCUUGC